rnacentral:tRNA from 1 species
CCUUCGAUAGCUCAGUUGGUAGAGCGGAGGACUGUAGCGGUAUUACACUGAUAUCCUUAGGUCGCUGGUUCGAAUCCGGCUCGAAGGA